rnacentral:rRNA from 1 species
AGUGGCAGACGGGUGAGUAACAUGUGGGUAUCUACCCUUUGGCCUGGAAUAACACGAGGAAACUUGUGCUAAUACCGGAUAAGUCUUUACGGAGAAAGCUUUAUGCACCAUUGGAUGAGCCCGCACUUGAUUAGUUUGUUGGUAGGGUAAUGGCCUACCAAGACUAUGAUCAAUAGCUGAUUUGAGAGGAUGAUCAGCCACAUUGGGACUGAGACACGGCCCAAACUCCUACGGGAGGCAGCAGUGGGGAAUCUUGCACAAUGGAGGAAACUCUGAUGCAGCGAUGCCGCGUGAGUGAAGAAGGCCUUUGGGUUGUAAAGCUCUUUCGUCGGGGAAGAAAAUGACUGUACCCGAAUAAGAAGGUCCGGCUAACUUCGUGCCAGCAGCCGCGGUAAUACGAAGGGACCUAGCGUAGUUCGGAAUUACUGGGCUUAAAGAGUUCGUAGGUGGUUGAAAAAGUUGGUGGUGAAAUCCCAGAGCUUAACUCUGGAACUGCCAUCAAAACUUUUCAGCUAGAGUAUGAUAGAGGAAAGCAGAAUUUCUAGUGUAGAGGUGAAAUUCGUAGAUAUUAGAAAGAAUACCAAUUGCGAAGGCAGCUUUCUGGAUCAUUACUGACACUGAGAACGAAAGCAUGGGUAGCGAAGACGAUAGGAUACCCUCGUAGUCCAUGCCGA